rnacentral:rRNA from 1 species
AUAUCUCUGUAGAGUCUGCAUAUCAAUAAGCGGAGGAAAAGAAACUAACAAGGAUUCCCUUAGUAACGGCGAGUGAAGCGGGAAGAGCUCAAAUUUGAAAUCUUCAAGGUUCUACCUUGACGAAUUGUAGUUUAAAGAAGUGUUUUCUGUUGGAGUUUUGGUAAAAGUUCCUUGGAAUAGGACAUCAUAGAGGGUGAGAAUCCCGUAUUUGAUUAUUCAUUCUAGCUUUGUGAUACACUUUCAAAGAGUCGGAUUGUUUGGGAAUGCAGUCCAAAAUGGGUGGUAAAUUUCAUCUAAAGCUAAAUAUUGGCGAGAGACCGAUAGCGAACAAGUACCGUGAGGGAAAGAUGAAAAGAACUUUGAAAAGAGAGUUAAACAGUACGUGAAAUUGUCAAAAGGGAAGCGUUUGACACCAGUGUUGUUUUUCCGAAAAUCAAUUACGAAUGGCCUGAUUUUGUGUUGUAUUGACCUUAUCAGCUUUCUUCACUUUUUUCGAGUCUUUCUUAAUGCACUUUUCGGUUAACAAGUCAACAUCAAUUUCUUUUGUUGUAAAAGAGUAUUCGGAAGGUGGCUUUCUUUUCGGAGAAAGUGUUUAUAGCCCUAUACUUCUACAAUCGGAGAGAUUGAGGUCUGCAGCGUAGAUCCUUCGGGGUUAGAUACACUUGUGCUAAGUUGUAGCUCUUCAUAGACAACUUGUUGACUAUGUUUAGUCAUGCGGCUUACUCGCUUGUGCUAUUUUACCUACGCUUAGGAUGUUGACUGAUAUGUAGUCGUA